UACGUAGGGUGCGAGCGUUGUCCGGAAUUAUUGGGCGUAAAGAGCUCGUAGGCGGCUUGUCGCGUCGGAUGUGAAAGACCGGGGCUUAACCCCGGUUCUGCAUUCGAUACGGGCUAGCUAGAGUGUGGUAGGGGAGAUCGGAAUUCCUGGUGUAGCGGUGAAAUGCGCAGAUAUCAGGAGGAACACCGGUGGCGAAGGCGGAUCUCUGGGCCAUUACUGACGCUGAGGAGCGAAAGCGUGGGGAGCGAACAGG
rnacentral:rRNA from 1 species